rnacentral:rRNA from 1 species
UGCCAGCAGCCGCGGUAAUACGGAGGGUGCAAGCGUUAAUCGGAAUUACUGGGCGUAAAGCGCUCGUAGGCGGUUUGUUAAGUCGGAUGUGAAAGCCCCGGGCUCAACCUGGGAACUGCAUUCGAUACUGGCAGACUAGAGUAUAGUAGAGGCAAGUGGAAUUCCGGGUGUAGCGGUGAAAGGCGUAGAUAUCCGGAGGAACAUCAGUGGCGAAGGCGACUUGCUGGACUAAUACUGAAGCUAAGUAGCUAAAGCGUGGGGAGAAAACGGGAUUAGAUA